UGAGGAACAUGACCUUCGGCGGGGGAUAGCCGGCCCAACGGCCGGGUAAUACCGCGUACGACCACUUUGGGACAUCCCUCGGUGGUGAAAGCAGCAAUGCGCCGAUGGAGUGCCUCGCGGCCUAUCAGCUAGUUGGUGAGGUAACGGCUCACCAAGGCGACGACGGGUAGCUGGUCUGAGAGGAUGGCCAGCCACAUUGGGACUGAGACACGGCCCAGCUCCUACGGGAGCAG
rnacentral:rRNA from 1 species